rnacentral:rRNA from 1 species
CCUACGGGUGGCAGCAGUGAGGAAUAUUGGUCAAUGGACGAGAGUCUGAACCAGCCAAGUCGCGUGAAGGAUGACUGCCCUAUGGUUGUUAAACUUCUUUUAUAGGGGAAUAACAUGUUCCACGAGUGGGUUUUUGUAUGUACCAUAUGAAUAAGGAUGGGCGAACUCCGCGCCAGCAGUCGCGGUAAUACGGAGGAUUCGAUCGUUAUCCGGAUUUAUUGGGUGUAAAGGUAGCGUAGGUGGGUUAGUAAGUCAGUUGUGAAAGUUGGCGGCUCAACCUUGAAAUUGCAGUUGAAACUGGUAGUCUUGAGGACAGGAGAGGUAGACGGAAUUCUUGGUGUAGCGGUGAAAUGCUUAGAUAUCAGGAAGAACACCGAUUGCGAAGGCAGCUCACUGGACUGCAACUGACACUGAGGCUCGAAAGUGUGGGUAUCAAACAGAAUUAGAUACCCGUGUAGUC